UACGAAGGGGGCUAGCGUUGCUCGGAAUCACUGGGCGUAAAGGGCGCGUAGGCGGCGUUUUUAAGUCGGGGGUGAAAGCCUGUGGCUCAACCCCGGAACUGCCUUUGAUACUGGUAGUCUUGAGUUCGAGAGAGGUGAGUGGAAUUCCGAGUGUAGAGGUGAAAUUCGUAGAUAUUCGGAGGAACACCAGUGGCGAAGGCGAGUCCCUGGACAACACCUGACACUGAGGCACGAAAGCUAGGGGAGCAAACAGG
rnacentral:rRNA from 1 species